UACGUAGGGUGCGAGCGUUAAUCGGAAUUACUGGGCGUAAAGUGUGCGCAGGCGGCUAAGCAAGUCGAGUGUGAAAGCCCCGGGCUUAACUUGGGAAUUGCGCUCGAAACUACUUGGCUGGAGUGUGGCAGAGGAAGGUGGAAUUCCACGUGUAGCGGUGGAAUGCGUAGAGAUCCCCAAGAACACCAGUUGCGAAGGCGGCUGACUGGACACAUAUUGACGCUGAGGCUCGAAAGCAUGGGGAGCAAACAGG
rnacentral:rRNA from 1 species